rnacentral:rRNA from 1 species
GAUGAACGCUGGCGGCGUGCUUAACACAUGCAAGUCGAACGAAGCACUUUAUUUGAUUUCCUUCGGGGCUGAUUAUUUUGUGACUGAGUGGCGGACGGGUGAGUAACGCGUGGGUAACCUGCCUUGUACAGGGGGAUAACAGUUGGAAACGGCUGAUAAUCCCGCAUAAGCGCCCGGCAUCGCAUGAUCCAGGGUGAAAAAGUCGGGUGGGAUAAGAUGGACCCAAGUUGGAUUAGCUAGUUGGUGAGGUAACGGCCCACCAAGGCGACGAGCCAUAGCCGGGCUGAGAGGGUCACCGCCCACACUGGGACUGAGACGCAGUCCAGAAUCCUACGGGAGGCAGCAGUGGGGGAUAUAGCCCAAUCGGCUAGAGGCUGAAGCAGCUCGGGUGGGUGAGCGAUGAAGUAUUGAGGUAAGAAAAGCUCUAUAAGCAGGGAAUAUUCUGACGGUACCUGACUAAGAAGCACCGGCUAAAUACGUG